rnacentral:rRNA from 1 species
GACGAACGCUGGCGGCGUGCUUAACACAUGCAAGUCGAACGGAAAGGCCCUGCUUUUGUGGGGUGCUCGAGUGGCGAACGGGUGAGUAACACGUGAGUAACCUGCCCUUGACUUUGGGAUAACUUCAGGAAACUGGGGCUAAUACCGGAUAGGAGCUCCUGCUGCAUGGUGGGGGUUGGAAAGUUUCGGCGGUUGGGGAUGGACUCGCGGCUUAUCAGCUUGUUGGUGGGGUAGUGGCUUACCAAGGCUUUGACGGAUAGCCGGCCUGAGAGGGUGACCGGCCACAUUGGGACUGAGAGACAGCCCAGACUCCUACGGGAGGCAGCAGUGGGGAAUAUUGCACAAGGGGCGGAAGCCUGAUGCAGCAACACCGCGUGCGGGAUGACGGCCUUCGGGUUGUAAACCGCUUUCGCCUGUGACGAAGCGUGAGUGACGGUAAUGGGUAAAGAAGCACCGAAUAACUACGUG